AGAGGGAGAGGGAGAGGGAGGGAGGGCAUGGCUGUUCCUAAGGUGGAGGAAGAGAAUGUUUGUUGUAGUUAGGGAGAGCACACCCUGAGGCAGAGAUCUGAGAGAGUCCAGAGUGGACCUCACCAGACUGAGCUGGGCCAUGUGAGAAAAGGAGGGAGGGGAAAGGGAAGAGGCAUUGAAGACCAGGACGGGCAGCCAAGAGACCUGAAAGGUAAAGCCCAGAAAAUGCAUCUAGUCCAACUCCAAGAGCAGCCAAUGUUUUAAAAGAUCUAGUGUCACUCAAAAGUCCAAAUUCAGAGUCCCUACUAGCACUCAAAGCAGGCUGGCAGCUUCACCGUGUGAAACAGAAGACAAUGUCACAGGCUUCCAACCUGUGAUGUCACACAGUAAACACUCUUAUUCCAAAGAGGAAGAAGAGAGGGGACUGAAGGCCUUCACUGGAGGAGAUUCACAUCACAGAGGACCAGGAAGUAGAACCCACCCUGUUCGUGUUUCCUGACUUUUCAUCUGAAGCUUGUGUUCCAGUCUCCAGCCACCAUCAGAGGGGAACACGGGAGGGGAACAGGUAAGAACGCAGGUGCAGAGACAUCCUGUCUAGAUCUUUGACUUGUUGUACAGUAACCCUGUCUGGUUUUCCCAACCCCUCAGCCUAACUCCCACACACAGAUAUCCUGAAACCUCAUCUAAUCUGAGUCCCCCUUAUAAAGAGCGUCACCUUCACCUCAGAGUCUUCAGCUUUGUGAGCCAGGCACGCGUGAGGCAGUGCAGGGUCUCUGCCUGCAGACUGUGAUCACAACAUGGUAUCUACCUCACGAGUCAUGACUACCUUGGUUCUUCAGCACGUUGACUAUAUGACACGUACUUUUUAAAAGUCAGCGAAGUACUUAGGAAAGUAAAGAUCUGGUGUUGAACGAUGGAAAGGAAAGGGCAUGGACUCUUUAGGAAACUGGGAAACCCCAAAGAAGUAGUUCACUAGGGAUACACCUCUGCAAGUGACCCAGGCCCUGCUUCUGGAAUAUUCUUUGCUUCCUGGACCAUCAAACUGUGAGAAGCCUCCUCAUCACAUUCCACUACCACCAAAGAAGCUGCUCCUGUGACCAGGCCUUUCCUAUGAUGAUAAGCUAAAUCUCCCUGAAACCAAACGCCAAAAAAGACUGGUCAUCCUUUCAAUCCAGUCGGGUAGUUGAUCAAAGCAACACAAAAUUAACCACUAGCAUGUAUAUAUAGAUUAUUUUAAUCUGUGCAACAGUCUACUUCCAAGGACUAAAUAUCACAAUUAUUUUAAUUAAUUUAUUGAUUAUGCUGUGUUUCUUUUUUUUAUAUAUAUAUAAGUACAUUUAUCUGUAUGGAUGAAUGCACCUAAGCCUGGGUAUAUACGGAGACUGGAGGAGGGACCCGGGUAUACUUAUGCUGGUCUAUCACUCUUUCUUACU
rnacentral:lncRNA from 1 species